rnacentral:rRNA from 1 species
CCUACGGGUGGCAGCAGUGGGGAAUAUUGGGCAAUGGGCGCAAGCCUGACCCAGCAACGCCGCGUGAAGGAAGAAGGCCCCCGGGUUGUAAACUUUUUUUAUUCGGGACGAAACAAAUGACGGUACCGAAUGAAUAAGCCACGGCUAACUACGUGCCAGCAUUCGCGGGAAUACGUAGGGGGCAAUCGUUAUCCGGAUUCACUGGGUGUAAAGGGCGUGUAGGCGGGAGGGCAAGGCAGACGUGAAAUUCCAGGGCUCAACCCUGGAAGUGCGUUUGAAACUGUUCGUCUUGAGAGAUGGAGAGGCAGGCGGAAUUCCGUGUGUAGCGGUGAAAUGCGUAGAUAUACGGAGGAACCCCAGUUGCGAAGGCGGCUUACUGGACUGUAACUGACGUUGAGGCUCGAAAGCGUGGGGAGCAAACAGGAUUAGAUACCCGUGUAGUC